rnacentral:lncRNA from 1 species
GAAGAGUUUCUUCUACUGUAUCAAGCCUCUCCAGCGGUCCUUGGUCUGCUCCAGUACUAUUGGUUGACCCCAGUCCAACAGAAGACACACCCUUCCUUUGGUCCUUUGGCUCUUCUUAGAAGCCUCUGAUGAAUCACCAAACCUCUUCAUGAUUCUCUAAACAUCCAACAUGGUUUUACCAUGGUGUACUAGAUAUGAGACAACAAGGGGGCUUUCUCCUGAGUCGUAGGAGCACAGAGACAUAGUACUGGGAUUGUGGUGAGAGCUGUGACAUGAUACACCCUGCGUGCUAGUCAAAUGGAGACUCAACAGCAGGCCUUCAAGCCCAACAGAUGACUGACAUAAAGGAGAAGAAAACAGAAGUAGAGGGGGAGAUUAAAUAAGAGAUGGGGGGAUUAUUGAAAGGCAUUAAAAUGACACAGAAGAUUAUUCCGACAUCGGCAGGCAGCAGCCAGCCAGAGACAGUCUGCUCAAGGUCACCAACUGGCUGAGAAUUGCCACUUCAAGAGACAAACAGAAAAGAACAUCAAGACAGCAGGAAGGAGACAAACAGAAAAGAACAUCAAGACAGCAGGAAGGAGACAAACAGAAAAGAAC